rnacentral:rRNA from 1 species
GGGGGGGAGUGGCGAACGGGUGAGAAAUACAUCGGAACGUGUCCUGUAGUGGGGGAUAGCCCGGCGAAAGCCGGAUUAAUACCGCAUACGCUCUACGGAGGAAAGGGGGGGAUCUUAGGACCUCUCGCUACAGGGGCGGCCGAUGGCAGAUUAGCUAGUUGGUGGGGGAAAGGCCUACCAAGGCGACGAUCUGUAGCUGGUCUGAGAGGACGACCAGCCACACUGGGACUGAGACACGGCCCAGACUCCUACGGGAGGCAGCAGUGGGGAAUUUUGGACAAUGGGGGCAACCCUGAUCCAGCAAUGCCGCGUGUGUGAGGAAGGCCUUCGGGUUGUAAAGCACUUUUGUCCGGAAAGAAAACCGCCGCCCUAAUAUGGUGGUGGGAUGACGGUACCGGAAGAAUAAGCACCGGCUAACUACGUGCCAGCAGCCGCGGUAAUACGUAGGGUGCAAGCGUUAAUCGGAAUUACUGGGCGUAAAGCGUGCGCACGCGGUUUGCUAAUACAGAUGUGAAAUCCCCGGGCUUAACCUGGGAACUGCAUUUGUGACUGACAGGCUAGAGUAUGGCAGAUGGGGGGUAGAAGUCCACGUGUAGCAGUGAAAUGCGUAUAGAUGUAGAUGUAUACCGAUGGCGGAGGCAGCCCCCUGCCCCAAUACUGACGCUCAUGCACGAGAGCGUGGGGAGGGAACAGGAUAGAUACCCUGGCAGUCCACGCCCUAACGAUGUCAACUAGUUGUGGGGAUUCAUUUCCUUAGUACCGUACCCACGCCGUGAAGUUGACCGCCUAGGCGAGGACGGUCGCAGAUUAAAACUCAAGCAUUGACGGGUACCCGGCCACGCGUGGACGGAGUGGAUU